rnacentral:rRNA from 1 species
GAAAUAGAACCUGAAACCGUAUACGUACAAGCAGUGGGAGCCACUUCGUGUGGUGACUGCGUACCUUUUGUAUAAUGGGUCAGCGACUUAUGUUCAGUGGCGAGGUUAACCGUUUAGGGGAGCCGUAGGGAAACCGAGUCUGAAUAGGGCGAUUUAGUCGCUGGGCAUAGACCCGAAACCGGGCGAUCUAUCCAUGAGCAGGUUGAAGGUGCCGUAACAGGCACUGGAGGACCGAACCCACUGUCUUUGAAAAGCCAGGGGAUGACUU